rnacentral:rRNA from 1 species
AUUGAACGCUGGCGGCAUGCCUUACACAUGCAAGUCGAACGGUAACGCGGGGCAACCUGGCGACGAGUGGCGAACGGGUGAGUAAUGUAUCGGAACGUGCCCAGUUGUGGGGGAUAACUGCUCGAAAGAGCAGCUAAUACCGCAUACGAUCGGGGGGUGAAAGCGGGGAUCGCACGAACACGCGCAAUUGGAGCGGCGGAUAUAAGAUUAGGUAGUGGGUGGGGUAAAGGGUCACCAAGCCGGCGAUCUGUAGCUGGUCUGAGAGGACGACCAGACACACUGGGACUGAGACACGGCCCAGACUCCUACGGGAGGCAGCAGUGGGGAAUUUUGGACAAUGGACGCAAGUCUGAUCCAGCCAUGCCGCGUGCGGGAAGAAGGCCUUCGGGUUGUAAACCGCUUUUGUCAGGGAAGAAAAGGCUCCUUCUAAUAUAGGGGGCUCAUGACGGUACCUGAAGAAUAAGCACCGGCUAACUACGUGCCAGCCGCCGCAGUAACAC